GAUGAACGCUAGCGAUAGGCUUAACACAUGCAAGUCGAGGGGCAGCAUGGUCUUAGCUUGCUAAGACUGAUGGCGACCGGCGCACGGGUGCGUAACGCGUAUGCAACUUGCCUCACAGAGGGGGAUAACCCGUCGAAAGACGGACUAAUACCGCGUACACUUGGGAUAGGACAUCCUGACCCAAGGAAAUGAAAUUCGCUGUGAGAUAGGCAUGCGUCCCAUUAGCUAGUUGGUGAGGUAACGGCUCACCAAGGCGACGAUGGGUAGGGGAACUGAGAGGUUGAACCCCCACACUGGUACUGAGACACGGACCAGACUCCUACGGGAGGCAGCAGUGAGGAAUAUUGGUCAAUGGGCGAGAGCCUGAACCAGCCAAGUCGCGUGAAGGAUGACUGUCUUAUGGAUUGUAAACUUCUUUUAUACGGGAAUAACAAGAGCCACGUGUGGCUCCCUGCAUGUACCGUAUGAAUAAGCAUCGGCUAACUCCGUG
rnacentral:rRNA from 1 species